AAAAAACAGGAGAAGUUUACAUAUCAGCACAAAUCCACAUGCAGAUAACAGACUGCAUUCUUACUAGCCUCUAACUUUACAUUCUAUGUAUUAUUUAUUUAGUCUGAUCAUGUUUAUGUUAGCUGUUCAUUAUAGUGAAUGAUUUUAUGGUUUCCUUUUUGCCCUGAACGUGCUUUAGUUUUAAGUAUAAAAUGCCUUUGCCCUACAGUGUAAAUUAGCAUGCACAUGUUAUUGUUUAUAUUCUCCUUGCUUUUAAUAUGGCCAAGCGUCUCCAGAGAUUUGAGAUCCUUCAGUUUCAGACGUGAUAAAUGAAAGCCUCUUUCCAGGUUUUUUUUUUUUUUUUUUUUUUUUUUUGCAUCCCAGACUAUAAUUGAGGACAAUAACUGCAAUGACUUUCCCAAUUAGGCUUGAGGUUGGAGUUAAGUUAGAAAGACUGUCAGUUUAUGCUAUGGGCAAUGGCUUUAUUGCUCACUAACCAUCAUUUCUUUAGAGCCUAUGUGCUAAUUACUUUGGAUGGUCCCAGAGACGGAGAUUAUAAAUCCAUUAGCACUCAAACCCUCGUGGUUCCACAGUGCAAACACUGUAAUUUUGUAGUACACCAAAAAACCAAACUUUAAGUACCAGAAGCGGGAUCAAGGGAAACAGAUUUUCAGCUACAUGUGUAUUUUUUUCAGGAACCACUAUGAAAGGAAGCCCAAUGUAGAGGAAUCAACAGCUGAGCCGAAACACAGAGUAAACUAAGCAGAAAAAAAGAAAACAAGGGGGAUGUUUCAUUAGAAGGACUUUUGACUGGCAGUCGGUAGCAGCUUAUUCUGCUGUGUCACCUUAUGUCAGCGGUGUACUCCUAAUGAACAACACUAGACCAUGUCAAAUAUUACAGGAAAGUUUGGACUCAAAAGUAUUUAUACUCUUCAAGUGCAUGUGAAAUACACAGGGAGAGAUGCAGCCUUAAGAUAUGAAAAUAAACCUUAACUGCAUUAAAAAAAAAAAAAAAAAAAACGUGACCCAAAUGGUGGUGCGUGAAGGUACCUCACCCUUGAAGUAAUUUAUUUCAGGGAAACCCGAGGGCAAAGGUGGAAUUCUUGAGAAAUUCAACAAGGAUAAGGGAGCUUUAGGAAUUCUGCACGCAGAUUACCUUUCAUCCCAUCCUCGCAUUAUCCGACAACACACAGCAGAAAUAUAGCUCAGCGACAAAAGAGCGAGAUUACCCUCCGACACAGAGGAGUGCAAAACAAUUUUUAAGAAGUAUUGCGAUUAUUAUGGGCUGUGCUGAGAGAGGAACCGACAGAGGAAGAGGGGGUCAACACAGAGAGGCACAGAUUCCUGGUGUGCUUUUAACAGAGGUCACACACACACAAACAUAAAAAAACAAGAAAAUAUAUAUAUAUCUAGAGUUUACUUUUGAAAAAUGUCCUGGCUGUUGUAGACGAUGAUAGUCGACCCUUAAAUAAAGUUUACCCACAUUUUAACCAGGAGGAAUUGAGUCAAAUUGGUGAGUUCAACUGAUGGAUGAUAUAUUAUGGGUGCGACGCCUUCCAGACGACAGGGUCACACACACACACACACACACACACACACACACACACACACGGUCAUAAACACGCACGCGCCCCUUGUUUAACUUGUUUGGAUGUUUAACUUUGGGUUGCAGCUAAAUGAGUGGCAUCACAUCAGCACUACAUUUCCCCCCCAUUUUUUUUCCACCAAAAACCAACACACAGCAGGGGCUUAAUUAGAAAUGUAGUGUAGCUGAACCAUCAGCAUGAGCUGAGAAUGACUGAGUAUACUGAUGCAGUCUAGUUUACAUCAGUACAGACUAAAGUAUGUGGAGAUAGUGAGCUCCGUAAAAACUCUCUGGGUGGUUAAAUUGAAGAAUAGUUAUUUACUUUUAACAAACCUGAAAAUAUUUGGCUUUAAAAUAUCCCUUUUAGAAACUUUAAAAUUAUAUCAACUUAUGCAAAGGUGCAAUACAAAAAAAGUGUAAUAUUUGUAAUUUUUGAUCAGAUAUCAUAAUAAAAUAUUGCAAACGUAUUAUAAAUGAUGCUUUCAUGUGUUAACCACACACACAUGGACACAGGCCUCAGGAGAUUUUGUUUUGAGAGGUGUGUGUCUGGUGUUUUGUGUGUGUGUGUGUGUGUGUGGACACUUGUGUGGGAAAGACAGUGAAGUGAAGGUGGCCUGCGUUUAGUGCCCAGACCUGGCAGAUUGUGACCUUAUCAAUGCGAAACUCUUAAGAUAAAUUAUUCAUAGCACCUGUUUGAUGUCUCUGGCCAAAGAAUGACAAAGGUGUAAAAUUUAAGAUGCACCUCAAAGCCGUAGAUAUCAGACACUGUACCUGCCCUCUUUAAAGCAGAAAAAAAAAAAAAAAAACAGGGAGUGAAGCUGCAUUUUAAAGAUCAGCAGUGAACACAGGGAGCAAAAAGGAAAGGGUGCAGAUGUACAGAAGAAAAUGCUUAUUUGGAUUUGCAAAAAAAAAAAAAAAAUUAAACAUGAGCUCCCAAUUUUAGUGUGCAAGGUGUGGUUGUUGUCAAGCGUUCUCCUAAUGUCAUGUGACUCACAGGUGGCCAGUGAUUAUGUCGGUCACUGAAAUGGGCCACCCACACUGUGACAGUCUGCUUUAUCUUCACCUUCAUGUAAAACCUGAAGUACAGAGUUAGUCUUGGUUUAUUUCUGCUGAACUAACCUUGCCUUUUUUUAAAACUCGCAUUUGUGUUGUGUGUCUCCUUCCAGAGAGAAAACGACAUGGCGACCAUGGCAUCAGAAACACUGUGGGAUGUGUUGAUGUGGUGCAAGGACUGACACCAGGAUGAGAUGUAAUUUAUAGCGUGUGUUAUUUGAUUAUAAGGCAGUGACAGGAACGCCACCGCUCAGUAUGAGUCUGUAUGUGUUUAAGAGCAUGUCGGAAUCAGAUAAACUGUCCUAAAUGUUAGAUUUACUACAGGUUACUUGUGCUAAAUAUAACAUUAAAGAUAAACUAGGACUUGAUCUGUGAUGCACAACUCUGAGGAUCCUCCUGAAUUUUGUUUUCAUGAGCAUAUUCUAGCUUCUACUAACAUUCAUUCUCCUAUGCACUACUCUGAAAUGUUAUCAAGCAACCAGGAAAUCAUUUUUUAUCUUUAUUUGUUUUGGGGAAAAAAAGAUCAUAAUAUGCUGUUUGGGAAACUGGCAGCAGAUCUUUUCAUAGCUAGAGGUCAACAUAACACUGUGUAUUAAUAAAACAAAUAAAAGUGGGAUGGGUAUUAAUGAUGAUAUAUACAGAUGUACUGCACAUGAGCUUGAAAUAUGUGUGAGAAAGUGCUGAAAGAGAGCAGAGGGGAGACACUCUCACAUACCCACAUACACACGUUUGUGUGUUUACUUGUCUGUGUGUGUGCGAUAGCCAAAUCUGUCUCCCUCAGAUAUUCCCUUUGACCUUUGACCUGAGAGUUGGGGUCAAGCCCUGACAAAUGAGAUGGCCGAUUUCUGGCCAGAACUGCAAACAUUCCACAACAAUCUUCUGUCCUCCUCCUCCCCUCUCCUCAUAUCCGUCAUUCCUCACCCCUUCACUCCUCUCAGUUCAGUCCAUGACAAAGUCAGACAAAGUUCUCAUUACACACAAACAUGUUUUAUUGUACUUGCUUUGGGAAUUUUAAAGUACACAUAUCUCAAAUAAAGAAUUCCAACAGUGGUUGAAUUUAUUAUAGUCGACGUCUGCCUUGUUUGCAGAAGAAAAGAAAACAAAAGAACAUGAUCUUAAAGUGGAAGCCGUGUUUAAGAUUUGGAUAUUACAGCCCAGCACUUUGAAAGCACACUGUGUGUUUGGAAAGCUUGUCAGUGAUGUCAAGGAUGAGAAAUGUUGCAGUGUGGUUUUUUACACACGCUGCUGGCUCUAGCAUUUCCGGCAACAUUUCUCACUCUGCCUCCCUCACACCAUCCGCUCUGCUGCAAUAUCCCCACAUUUUUCCAUCUUUUCACUUCUUCCCCUCCCUCCUCUUCACUCGCCUCCUCUCUGACCACUACUGCUCCUUUUACCCUUCCUCUCUACUGCCCCACCCUAAUCUCAACCUCUCCCUUCCCUCACUCCCCUCCCAGCACACUCACUCACUCGCCCUCCCCUCCCCUUCUCCUCCACCCACUAUUUUCUCUGAUUUUCUAACAUGCCAUUCCACAGAAUGCUACCACCUGUGUCUUUAGGGAGAAAAGGGGGGCUAGUGGUAUUUCUCUUCAGGAAGCUGGUUAAGAAUCCUGGCUUUCUAAGUAUCGCCAUACUGCAUCAAAGCUCCGGCUAAAAGUCACUGCUGUAAAAACACACACAGUCACCAUCGAUGAAUGUCAGCAGAGCAGCCGCAAAGUCCCAGUGGAGUCAGGAGACCAACAAUGCCGGCUGAUACAGUAACACACUGAGUGAAUCAUGUUCUUGAACUUGCUUUCAUAAUUAUAAUGAUGUAACAUUACUAAAAGGCAAUGCAAGAUCUUAAUAAAACCCAUCAAUCCUGA